GGUUAGGUUAGGUUAGGUAAGGUAAGGAAGGUAGGUAGGUAGGUAGGUAGGUAGGUAGGUAGGUAGGUAGGUAGGUAGGUAGGUAGGUAGGUAGGUAAGUAAGUAAGCGAGUAGAUAAACAGGUACGUAGGUAGUUAGUUGGUUAGUUAUAUAGAUAGAUAGAUAGAUAGAUAGAUAGAUAGAUAGAUAGAUAGAUAGACAGAUUGGUAGGUAGGUAGGUAUAUCAACAUAUAGAGUGUAUAUAGUUCAGUAUUCGUUUAUAUACGAUAUAAAAUUUUACAUGAAAAGAAGCAGAAUUUUUUUUAAAGAAAAAACUCGAAAAAUACUGAAUUGAAAGAGUAAGAGAAAAAGAGAAAGAGAGAGAGAGAGAGAGAGAAUGAACUAAUCAAAUGCAGCGUUAAAACUAUUCACGCUUAGUAGAAUAUAUAUAAAAGUAACAUCGUUUACAGCUGUUUCUGCACUGGAUCUGAGUUGUAAGGAAACAUGGAGUGCUUUGUAUGUACACUUGGGGACAAUGAAUCUGAGACGGCUCAUUUUUUACACCAGACAGUUACGUUGGCAACACUGAGAAACCUACGGCGCCACAGUCGGCCUAGCGCGAAACAAACUCGAAUCUCAACAAGCGUAACACAAUCCAUGACCGUCGAAUCCGACCUUAGAAUACCGCGGAGAUAAUGACUUGUUAGAUCGACACGUAUUCUAAGGUUAGAUUCGACGGUUAUUGGUUAUGUUACGUUUAUUGAGAUUGAGUUCGUUUCGCGCUCGACCGACCGUGGCGCUGCAGGUUUCUCUGUGUUGCCAACGUAACUAUCUAGUGCAAAAAAUUACACGUCUCAGAUUCAUUGUCUCCAAAUGUAUGUUUAGGUGUGUCUGUUAAAUAGAUGAGAAUUUUACAAUGGCUGUAUUAUGUGUUAUUAUACUGUAUACUUUUAUUAUAGAAAAACAAGAUGAUGAAAGUAAGGAUAAGUAAACAAUUUGAAAAAAAAAAAAGAAAAAAAAACAAA